rnacentral:misc_RNA from 1 species
GAUGAAGAACGCAGCGAAAUGCGAUAAGUAAUGUGAAUUGCAGAAUUCAGUGAAUCAUCGAAUCUUUGAACGCACAUUGCGCCCGCCAGUAUUCUGGCGGGCAUGCCUGUCUGAGCGUCAUUUCAACCCUCAUGCCCCUAGGGCGUGGUGUUGGGGAUCGGCCAAAGCCCGCGAGGGACGGCCGGCCCCUAAAUCUAGUGGCGGACCCGUCGUGGCCUCCUCUGCGAAGUAGUGAUAUUCCGCAUCGGAGAGCGACGAGCCCCUGCCGUUAAACCCCCAACUUUCCAAGGUUGACCUCAGAUCAGGUAGGAAUACCUGCUGAACUUAAGCAUAUCAAUAAGCGGAGGA